GUCAGCAUGGUGUAGUGGUUUGGGCACUGGACUACAACUCCAGAGCCUGGAGUUUGAUUCCCCACCUGGCCA